rnacentral:tRNA from 1 species
GCGGGCGUGGUCAAAGAGUAUGACGUCCGGUCCCACCGGAAGGUAGAGGUGCAAGUCCUCUCGCCCGCUCCA